GGGACCGGGGGAGGAGCGGCCGCCGCCGCCCGCGGCGUCGCCCCCGCCGUGCUCCCCGCGGGAGGGGGAGGCAGCGAGGGUGCUCCGCGGGAGGCGCUCCCCGCCCGGCCCGGCACGGCUCGGCACGGCUAGGCCCUUGGUAAAAUGAAGAGGAUGCACAAGAAGUUUCCGCAAAACUCUUGGCAUAUGAAGUUAUUUUGGAAAUAGAAGUUAUUCUGGAAGUUAUUUUGGGCCUUCAAAGUGCAGUUCACUGACCCUCCACUAACACUUUUUAAUCCAGAAAAUAGCACCCAAACAAAAACAAAACACACAUUAAAUGACUAUUUAGUGAAGCAAUGUGUCACUCAGCCGCACCAUUGCCAGCUGUGAUCUCAUUAAAGCUCACAAGUAGAGUAAGGCUUGGCCUGAUCAGUAAUUGGAAAGGACAUCUCACAGGAAAAUAUUUCAAGAUGUUGCGAAGUUUGAUUUUGGUGAUUCAGUAGAUGGCACUUUUCAUUUUGAAAAAAAAUAAAAAUAAAAAAAAUAAUCCUAUAACUCAGUAUUACAAAUACAGUGAACUCAGCACCCACACAAAAGCAGUUAUCUGAUCAUGUUGUUUUAUUUAUGCUGUUUAUUUUAAUGUGUGGAGUCACAAAAAGAGUUGGAAACUAUGCAGAAAAUCACAAGUAAUUGUAAAAAGCACAUGAAUCACAUAAAUCAUUUUUCAAGAUAAUCAGCCAGACAAGAUAAUCAGCCAGACCAAUCAUAUGAGAAGUCCAGAAAUGUAAUUACUUUAAAUGUAGUCACUUUCCUCAAAAAAAAAAAAAAAAAAAAAAAAAAAAAAAAAAAAAAAACACAGAGAGAGAGAGAAAAGGGGAAAAAAAAAAAAAGAAAAAAAAAAAAAACAGACACCCCCAAGUGUUUAACCAUCUAGAAGAAUCAGAUAAACUACCUGAAGCAGAUAAACUUUCAUACUUAUUUGUAUAGAAGAAUACAAACCAAAUGAGCACUUUGCAAAUUAUAUAUGGAGAACUACAUAUAUAUACAUAUGUAUGUGUAUAUGUAUAUGUAGAACUAUCUAUGUAUCAAACUUUCCCCAACUCAUCAGUGUUUCAGAUUAAUUAAAAAUUAAUUUUCUGUUGCCUGUUGAA